AUCAACUAGACAUAUAUUAAAAGAUAACUAUAUGAUUGACUGUCUAAUUGGGAGGAGAUGAGUUUACAAAAGUAACUUUAGAAAACAAGAAAAGAGAGAAACGACCUAAACAAUCCGUCUUAAAAUUCCAUAAAUAAAAAACAUAAGAAAUCAAG
rnacentral:sRNA from 1 species